rnacentral:rRNA from 1 species
GGAGCUUGCUCUGUGGGAUCAGUGGCGAACGGGUGAGUAACACGUGAGCAACCUGCCCCUGACUCUGGGAUAAGCGCUGGAAACGGCGUCUAAUACUGGAUAUGUGACGUGACCGCAUGGUCUGCGUCUGGAAAGAAUUUCGGUUGGGGAUGGGCUCGCGGCCUAUCAGCUUGUUGGUGAGGUAAUGGCUCACCAAGGCGUCGACGGGUAGCCGGCCUGAGAGGGUGACCGGCCACACUGGGACUGAGACACGGCCCAGACUCCUACGGGAGGCAGCAGUGGGGAAUAUUGCACAAUGGGCGCAAGCCUGAUGCAGCAACGCCGCGUGAGGGACGACGGCCUUCGGGUUGUAAACCUCUUUUAGCAGGGAAGAAGCGAAAGUGACGGUACCUGCAGAAAAAGCGCCGGCUAACUACGUGCCAGCAGCCGCGGUAAUACGUAGGGCGCAAGCGUUAUCCGGAAUUAUUGGGCGUAAAGAGCUCGUAGGCGGUUUGUCGCGUCUGCUGUGAAAUCCGGAGGCUCAACCUCCGGCCUGCAGUGGGUACGGGCAGACUAGAGUGCGGUAGGGGAGAUUGGAAUUCCUGGUGUAGCGGUGGAAUGCGCAGAUAUCAGGAGGAACACCGAUGGCGAAGGCAGAUCUCUGGGCCGUAACUGACGCUGAGGAGCGAAAGGGUGGGGAGCAAACAGGCUUAGAUACCCUGGUAGUCCACCCCGUAAACGUUGGGAACUAGUUGUGGGGUCCAUUCCACGGAUUCCGUGACGCAGCUAACGCAUUAAGUUCCCCGCCUGGGGAGUACGGCCGCAAGGCUAAAACUCAAAGGAAUUGACGGGGACCCGCACAAGCGGCGGAGCAUGCGGAUUAAUUCGAUGCAACGCGAAGAACCUUACCAAGGCUUGACAUAUACGAGAACGGGCCAGAAAUGGUCAACUCUUUGGACACUCGUAAACAGGUGGUGCAUGGUUGUCGUCAGCUCGUGUCGUGAGAUGUUGGGUUAAGUCCCGCAACGAGCGCAACCCUCGUUCUAUGUUGCCAGCACGUAAUGGUGGGGAACUCAUGGGGAUACUGGCCGGGGUCAACUCGGAAGGAAGG